rnacentral:rRNA from 1 species
UACAGAGGUCUCAACCGUUGUUCGGAUUCAUUGGGCGUAAAGGGUGCGUAGGCGGUCGCGCAAGUCGGAUGUGAAAUCUCAGGGCUCAACCCUGAAACUGCAUUCGAUACUGCGUGGCUAGAGGGUCGGAGGGGAGACUGGAAUUCUCGGUGUAGCAGUGAAAUGCGUAGAUAUCGAGAGGAACACCAGUGGCGAAGGCGAGUCUCUGGACGACUCCUGACACUGAGGCACGAAAGCUAGGGGAGCAAACAGG